AUGAAUGGGAAAAGAAAUUGUUAAUCAUGCAAGUAAAGGUCUUUUGAGAAACACAAAACAUUUACUCUAAGGUGUAAUCGAUUCACUUUUCUUGACAUCCCUCAAAAACUUAAGUGGACCCUUCUUACACUCUGCAAAACAAACAUUACCACUUAUCUAAGUUUCAGUAGGGAAAUACAGUGCUGACUACAUAACAACUGAACUAAACAGAGAUAUACAAUACACAGUGUAUACCAGCGAACUAGGUGCCAGGCGACAGACUUGGAGGAGAACAAAGGAGCUGAUAACACAGCUGUUGCUGUGAGGAUCUCCCAUGAUAAUCGAAAGGCCAUACUUCUUACAAGCAGGAAGAGGGGGAGACUCCAUGACGACCUCACAAACACACUCACACCAGCAAUACUUAUGAUUUAGUGAUGCUGAGAAAUUCAUCCCUUGGGAGAAAAGCACACUGGACUCAUCUAUAUACUAAACAGCUCUGCACUUCCAUGUUUGUGGAGGAGACACCAUCUUGUUUCCCACAACAUGUUUAUCACCAAAGAAACUAAAACGCCAGGGUAACAUAUCCUCUUCAGCUUCUACGCAGUUUGGGUGGUGGGUUCCAGCUACAUGGCCAGUGCACGGCAGUACUUGCUUCUUCAGGGCACCAGUCCGGACCAACCGAGGAUGCUAUGGCUGGCGUGAAGUUGAAUGAGGUGGAAGGAGUUGGACACCAUCUUAGGUCAAGGUGACAAAGCACAGCCCCCGAGCCAUCAUCAUUCACCUGGGCUCCAACAUCCUGUGCCCAGUCAAGGGCAGCCAACUCUUCCUUGACAUGGUGGCCUCAAUCCUUCAGAUACGACUCCAACACCGGGAUCAUCAUAUCGUCAAUGCUGCCCAGGCGCUAUUGGCAUGAUGCCAGAGAUCCAAUAAAGAUUGAGGGGAUGUGGAAGAACAUUAACCUCAGGCUAGCAAACUGUGUCAAAGAGCUCUGUGGAACAAUAGUGCCACAUCCCCAGAUCCUGGCAUCAGACAGAACAUGGAAUGCCUGGGAGGGCGUCCAUCUCAGAGACAAAGGACUGUGUGUGUUUACAGACAAUUUUUUUGCGUGCCCUGAUACUUGUUUUGCACUAAUAGAAGGGUGUUAUCUCCAAA